rnacentral:rRNA from 1 species
CUCUUNUUUGGAACCCUCUUCGUUUUUUCNUNUCUUCNCCCGNGCNNCACAAUGNAGGAUGCCCCNCCUUCGGGNGGGGGGGCCUAUGUCUUCCCNCNCAACAGUUUAGAAAGUCUUUGAAUGUUUACCAUCGUCCGGCCGCGACUUCUAGGAGACGCGGGGGGGCGAGACAAAAAAGUUAUUACAACUUUCAGCAAUGGAUCUCUUGGCUCUCGCAUCGAUGAAGAACGCAGCGAAUUGCGAUAUGUAAUGUGAAUUGCAGAUCUACAGUGAAUCAUCGAAUCUUUGAACGCACAUUGCGCUCCUCGGUGUUCCGAGGAGCAUGCCUGUUUGAGUGUCAGUUAAAUUCUCAACCCCUCUCGAUUUAAUUUCGAGGGGGAGCUUGGAUGGUGGGGGUUGCUGGAGUCUCCUGGGACUCGGGCUCUCCUGAAAUGCAUUGGCUUGCGGUCGACUUUCUCCUUUGCGCGACAAGGCUUUCGGUGUGAUGAUGAUCGCCGUUCGCCGAAGCGCAUGAACGAAGGUCUCGUGCCUCUAAUCAUGUCGACUCUUCUUCCGGAAGAAGUCUUCCUUCUUUACGUUUGACCUCAAAUCAGG